rnacentral:rRNA from 1 species
GAAUCCCGUCUUUGACACGGACUGCCUGUACAUUAUGGUGUGCUCUCGAAGAGUCGAGUUGUUUGGGAAUGCAGCUCAAAAUGGGUGGUAAAUGCCAUCUAAAGCUAAAUAUUGGCGAGAGACCGAUAGCGAACAAGUACCGUGAGGGAAAGAUGAAAAGAACUUUGGAAAGAGAGUUAAACAGUACGUGAAAUUGCUGAAAGGGAAACGCUUGAAGUCAGUCGCGUUGGCUAGAAAUCAACCUUGCUUUUGCUUUGUGUACUUUCUGGUUGACGGGUCAGCAUCAAUUUUGACCACUGGAUAAAGUCUUUGGGAAUGUGGCAUCUUCGGAUGUGUUAUAGCCCAUUGUCGCAUGCGGUGGUUGGGAUUGAGGAACUCAGCACGCCGCAAGGCCGGGUUUCGACCACGUUCGUGCUUAGGAUGCUGGCAUAAUGGCUUUAAUCGACCCGUCUUGAAACACGGACCAAGGAGUCUAACAUGCCUGCGAGUGUUUGGGUGGAAAAACCCAUGCGCGCAAUGAAAGUGAAAGUUGAGAUCCUCUUCAAAGGGGGAGCAUUGACGCCCGGACCAGACCUUUUGUGACGGAUCCGCGGUAGAGCAUGCAUGUUGGGACCCGAAAGAUGGUGAACUAUGCCUGAAUAGGGUGAAGCCAGAGGAAACUCUGGUGGAGGCUCGUAGCGAUUCUGACGUGCAAAUCGAUCGUCAAAUUUGGGUAUAGGGGCGAAAGACUAAUCGAACCAUCUAGUAGCUGGUUCCUGCC